rnacentral:rRNA from 1 species
AAACUUUCAACAACGGAUCUCUUGGUUCUCGCAACGAUGAAGAACGCAGCGAAAUGCGAUACGUAAUGUGAAUUGCAGGUUUUCGUGAAUCAUCAAAUCUUUGAACGCAUAUUGCGCCCUCUGGUAUUCCGGAGGGCAUGCCUGUUUGAGCGUCAUU